GACGAACGCUGGCGGCGUGCUUAAUACAUGCAAGUCAACUUGACUUUAGAUAGCAAUAUCGAAAAGUAGGGUGGCGCACGGGUGCGUAACGCGUAGGUAAUCUGCCCUGAGGUCUGACAUAACCCGUCGAAAGGCGGGCUAACAUCAGAUGAUAUAUAAUCACGACAUCGUGGAAAUAUCAAAUCUUCGGAGCCUUGGGAUGAGCCUGCGUCUGAUUAGGUAGUUGGCGGAGUAAUAGCCCACCAAGCCUACGAUCAGUAGCUGGUCUGAGAGGAUGAUCAGCCACACUGGAACUGAGACACGGUCCAGACUCCUACGGGAGGCAGCAGUAAGGAAUAUUGCUCAAUGGGGGAAACCCUGAAGCAGCAACGCCGCGUGAAGGAUGAAAUACUUUUGUAUGUAAACUUCUGCAAGAUGGGAAAAUAUUCUCCUCGGGAGAAUUGAUUGUACCAUCAGAGUAAG
rnacentral:rRNA from 1 species